rnacentral:rRNA from 1 species
AGGACGAACGCUGGCGGCGUGCUUAACACAUGCAAGUCGAGCGGAAAGGCCCUUCGGGGUACUCGAGCGGCGAACGGGUGAGUAACACGCGAGUAAUCUGCCCCUAGCUCUGGGAUAGCUCCGGGAAACCGGGAUUAAUACCGGAUACGACCACUACGGACAUCUGUGGUGGUGGAAAGAACUUCGGCUAGGGAUGAGCUCGCGGCCUAUCAGCUUGUUGGUGGGGUAACGGCCUACCAAGGCGACGACGGGUAGCCGGCCUGAGAGGGCGACCGGCCACACUGGGACUGAGACACGGCCCAGACUCCUACGGGAGGCAGCAGUGGGAAGUAUUGCGCAAUGGGCGAAAGCCUGACGCAGCGACGCCGCGUGGGGAUGAAGGCCUUCGGGUUGUAAACCCUUUCAGCAGGGACGAAGCGAAAGUGACGGUACCUGCAGAAGAAGCGCCGGCUAACUACGCGCCAGCAGCCGC